CGUAGGGUGCGAGCGUUGUCCGGAAUUAUUGGGCGUAAAGGGCUCGUAGGCGGUUUGUCGCGUCGGGAGUGAAAACACCGGGCUUAACUCGGUGCUUGCUUCCGAUACGGGCAGACUAGAGGCAUGCAGGGGAGAACGGAAUUCCUGGUGUAGCGGUGAAAUGCGCAGAUAUCAGGAGGAACACCGGUGGCGAAGGCGGUUCUCUGGGCAUGUCCUGACGCUGAGGAGCGAAAGUGUGGGGAGCGAACAGGAUUAGAUACCCUGGUAGUCCACACCGUAAACGUUGGGCGCUAGGUGUGGGAUCCAUUCCACGGGUUCCGUGCCGCAGCUAACGCAUUAAGCGCCCCGCCUGGGGAGUACGGCCGCAAGGCUA
rnacentral:rRNA from 1 species